AUUGAACGCUGGCGGAAUGCUUUACACAUGCAAGUCGAACGGCAGCACGGACUUCGGUCUGGUGGCGAGUGGCGAACGGGUGAGUAAUGUAUCGGAACGUGCCCAGUCGUGGGGGAUAACGUAGUGAAAAUUACGCUAAUACCGCAUACGAUCUAUGGAUGAAGGCGGGGGAUCGCAAGACCUCGCGCGAUUGGAGCGGCCGAUAUCAGAUUAGGUAGUUGGUGGGGUAAAGGCCCACCAAGCCAACGAUCUGGAGCUGGUCUGAGAGGACGACCAGCCACACUGGAGCUGAGACACGGUCCAGACUCCUACGGGAGGCAGCAGUGGGGAAUUUUGGACAAUGGGCGAAAGCCUGAUCCAGCCAUUCCGCGUGCAGGAUGAAGGCCCUCGGGUUGUAAACUGCUUUUGUACAGAACGAAAAGGUUUCUACUAAUACUAGGAGCUCAUGACGGUACUGUAAGAAUAAGCACCGGCUAACUACGUGCCAGCCGCCGCCGUAA
rnacentral:rRNA from 1 species